GUUUUUUCAUCGUAAGGCGUAAAGUUGGACGGAGCAAAGAAUAUUAUUUCCUUGGGUAUGGUAUGGCCUAUAUGCUAGCUGAUAUACGGUCCCCCGGUUAAUUAGAAAGUUAGACGAGCUGACUAGGACACAUUACAACCACGUCGAAGUUGAUAAAAGCAUAUAAUUUACGAGAAC